rnacentral:sRNA from 1 species
UAUAGCAAAGUUAUGCAGCUUCUUUCUGCACUGCGGCCGGGCAAAGUUUUCCCUCAAAUUAUGCAGUUAAUGAAACAAACUCCUGAGUGAAAUACAUAUCGCGUGGGCAUCACGUCGACCUGAAACUGGAUACGCAACGCAGCAGCUGCUUAUUUCACAUGUAAUUUGGCUGGAAGCUAACUUCUCAAAUUGACGGCGGCGCACAAGGUCCUUGCAAUCGCUGCAUUUCAUGUGAUACGUGUAGAGCGAAGCAGCUAUCAAAAUCUUUGCGGGCAACAUCCAUUUGUUUAAGGUGGAUUAACUGGGAAAGGACUUUCCAGCGACAAAGUCUACGCAAAUCCUUCACUUUUACAUAACAACCUUCAAAUAAGGAAAGGAAUCUGAUCUAUGGUGGACGCCAACCAGCUGAUGGACACGGACACGGACACGGACACGGACAUGAACACGGAGACGGACGGAGACGGAGCCGGGUGCAUUGGACGGCGCUCGAUUGGUCCAAGGGAAACUUGCAGCAAUUGCAGUUGUUAUGACAACGAAUUUGUUGUUGCUUUUUUAUUAAUUUUUUGUUGUUUCUGUAAAUAUUAAUUGCACAGA